AAUUGAAUGGGACCGUAAAUAAGCAAAAUUGCCGUAUUUACGCCACUGAAAAUCCUGAGAUUUCACUUCUUUCCACAACAAUUAAGCCAAAUACUUACAAAAGUGCGAGCUUGACCAUGGAGGAAUUGACGAAACUAUUCGACGAUUUGGAAAGGCUAUAUAAAAUAUUGCUAGGGGAUAACGCUAAGAUUACAACUACUACAAAAGAAGAUUCCACUAGUUUUUCAAAAUCACAUUCAACCAUUCCUCCUCCAAUAACAUCAGAGGGUCGUACGACUUCAGGCUUUCAAGUUGAUCCACAUAAUAAAACGGGAAGUGAAACCUCACAAAUUCAUAAUAAUUUGAAUCUUCAACCAGUUGUGGACGCAAUUCAGCAAUUAAAGAUGGCAAUAUUUCAUGAUUUUAAUGCCUUCAAAAAAGAUUAAGACGAAAGAAUGGAAAAACUGACCCAACUGCUUAAAGAGCGUGAGAGUGAUAAGAAAAACGUUGGUAAGCGGACAAACCAGAACGCUACACCUAAGAACGAUCAGUUGGAGGGAAGGCCGGAAGAAAAAAUGGAAAAAAAGAUCGAUGAGAUAUUGGAAACAACAAAAGGUUUAAAAGAAAGUGAAGAAUCUGAAGAUGAAAAGAAUCAUGAAGUCACCACACAAUUUCAAAAUAUAACUCAAAAACCUAAUCACAAUAUUAAUAAUGUUACUGUCAUUAACAAAAACAAUACUACAACUCUCCCAACAAAAAAUAUGCAAACAACUUUAGGAUGGUCAACUUUGAAACCUCAAAAUAAGUGAGGAUUUUAAUAAGAAAUUUAAACCUACCUAAAUGUUAUUACAUCAUUUAAUUUUUAAUUUGUUGAUGAAAAUUAUGAAGAAAUGAUUACGCCUGGAAAAGUAUGAUA